rnacentral:rRNA from 1 species
GUGCCACGCGGUAAUACGUAGGUGGCAAGCGUUGUCCGGAUUUACUGGGCGUAAAGGGCGUGCAGGCGGUCUGUUAAGUUCAGGGUGAAAGCUCCCGGCUCAACUGGGAGAGGUCCUUGGAUACUGGCAGACUUGAGGAGGGUAGAGGAGAGUGGAAUUCCCGGUGUAGUGGUGAUAUGCGUAGAUAUCGGGAGGAACACCAGUGGCGAAGGCGGCUCUCUGGGCCCUACCUGACGCUGAGACGCGAAAGCGUGGGGAGCGAACCGG